GAAAUAUAGUCAACCGUUUAUUAUCGCUAAUUAAAUACUAUCAGGCUCUAUCUCUAUACUGGACCCUUUUAUAUCUGACACAAUGUCCUCUUGUUCCAGACUGGCCUUUUUAUGAAGUAAAAUUAGUGCUUAUCAUCAUUCGUGAGGAUGGAAACAAAACAAACAUUUACGAUGCCCGAGAAGUUGCUCAUCAGUGGUUGACACAAGCAUUACAAGAAUGGCCAAAUCCUGUACAUUUGCAUAAAGUGAAAGUGUUUCCUAUAGGAAGUACUCUUACACGCUCCAAUGGAAGUGCAAAGGGGGGAACCAUGCAACAGUUUGCCACCAGUCCUGGACUCAGCCAGUUUGAUUGCUUGGCUCACCUGAAUGUGAUUUCUAAUGCUGAUGUAGGAGAAAUACAGGAUGAACUCACUGAGAUCCUCGCCAAGCGUUACAAAAUUGACCACUAUGAAAUAAAAACAGAUGCUAACUUCAUCUUCAUAUAUACUCUUGAUGAUCUCUUGCCGGACCUGGACACAAACCCACCCUUAACCGCGACUGAGUCUCUGCCUCAUACAACUGAAACACAAACAACCACAAUUCCUCAGCUGACGUCUACAACUACUGAAAUUAUUACUACUGCACAAACAACAGGCACAACACCCAAUCAAGUGGCAAUAACAACAGAAGUUGUUUCAUCCUCAACUGAAACAAAAAAAAUCACUACCUCCACACCAUCCAUGGAAACAACCCUGGCAGGAAGUUCCACGACUUUUUUAUCCUCCACAAGAAGUCUUACAUUAAAUACAGCCGCAUGCUCUUCUACUAUUUCACCUGAAGGAAACAUAUCAGAAAGUUAUUUUAGUGUCAAUGUCAAUGUGACUAUCAAUGGCUCUGGUGACCCUGAGAACAUAAUUACAACCUGGCUUCAUGAAACUCUUUCUGGUAAAGGAAUACAUGUGUUG
ensembl:lncRNA